rnacentral:rRNA from 1 species
UGAGGAAUAUUGCGCAAUGGCCGAAAGGCUGACGCAGCGACGCCGCGUGGAGGAUGAAAUCCGUUAGGAUGUAAACUCCUUUUGCCGGGGAAGAAUGUCCGCCUAUGGCGGAGGUGACGGUACCUGGCGAAUAAGGAUCGGCUAACUACGUGCCAGCAGCCGCGGUAAUACGUAGGAUCCAAGCGUUGUCCGGAAUUACUGGGUGUAAAGGGCGUGUAGGUGGGCUUCUAAGUCGGUGGUGAAAUCCUGCAGCUUAACUGUAGAACUGCCAUUGAUACUGGAAGUCUUGAGUACGGCAGAGGGAGAUAGAAUUCAUGGUGUAGCGGUGAAAUGUGUAGAUAUCAUGAAGAAUACCAGUUGCGAAGGCGGUCUCCUGGUCCGUUACUGACACUGAGGCGCGAAAGCGUGGGGAGCAAACAGG